ensembl:snoRNA
UUUAGAAGCCAAUGAUGUUUUUAUUCACAAUGUCUGAACCUGUCUGAAGCAUCCCAGUGAUGCAACUUCUGUGUGGUGCUGAGGCUUCUCUGUCA